rnacentral:rRNA from 1 species
UACGAAGGGGGCUAGCGUUGCUCGGAAUCACUGGGCGUAAAGCGCACGUAGGCGGAUCUUUAAGUCAGGGGUGAAAUCCUGGAGCUCAACUCCAGAACUGCCUUUGAUACUGGGGAUCUCGAGUCCGGAAGAGGUGAGUGGAACUCCGAGUGUAGAGGUGAAAUUCGUAGAUAUUCGCAAGAACACCAGUGGCGAAGGCGGCUGACUGGUCCGGAUCUGACGCUGAGGCGCGAAAGCGUGGGGAGCAAACAGG